GUCUUCAGCAAUUUCAGCUUCUGUGGGAUUUUCAACGAUUUUUUUUUCUUUUCUUUUUUUUUUCUUUUUUUUACUUUUUUAAGUUGGAAUAAAAGAGAGAGAAUCCCAAACAAUCAUCCCUCAAGUUCUGUAAUGGAACAAUUUCUUGCAGUAGUGUGCAGGUCACUCAGCUCAUAAGGAAAUCAUCUGGGUCCCAGACUUUGUUCUUCCUCUGUGGAUAUCUGAUUCAGAGGAAUCCCUGAGCAAAAAAGGCAUAAAGACCUGCAUAUCCCAUGCUGGAGAUCGGGCUCUGCCUGAAGAAAUGAACUUGACCUCAUGUGGAAAUGCCCACCUGCAGCUAUGGCUGAAUUCAGAGUGAGGAGACGGAGGUUUGUGAGCUGGGUACAAGGUGAAGACAGACUGCAAACAGAGAUCACAGGACAACUGCUUGCCACCCAAACUCAGGGCAAAUGAGAUCCUUUGAAGACAAGUGGUAAAAGGAAACACACAAAUCAUCUUCUGUACCGGACAGAAGGAGUAAGCAGAAAGGAGGGCAGGGAUUUAAGGAGUGAGGUGUUGUACAAAGUACAAUAUACAUUUCUGGUUUCAUCCAACUGUAAAUUGGAACACUGGUUAUCACACUCAACAACAGUUAGAGGGCAAAUAUAAUGGUGCACAGCCCAAGGAACAAUAAAAUACACCAGAAUGUUCAAGUUCACAUAAUAUCCUAAAAUAAAUAGACAUAAGUAAAUGAAGAAAAUUGACUUUUGCCUUG